UUUGGGUCGAUCCACCCACCUCCAGCUAAAUGGUUUUGUAACAGCCAUGGCGCCGAAAGCAGGUCGUCGAGGGAGGAAGCGCAAAGCGGAGGCAGAGGAGCAGCAAACACCAGCAGAGAAGAAGGAGCGAGGAGAGGAAGAAGGCAAAAGAGUGGUCAUUGAACACUGUAAAAGCUGACGAGUGUAUAGGGAUAAUGCUGAGGAGGUGAAAUCUGCCCUCCUGGCUGCCUGCCCUGCACUGCCUGUGAUCCUCAACCCUGAGAAACCCCGCAAGAAGAGCUUCGAGAUCACUCUUAUGGAUGGAGACAAAGAAACAUGCCUGUGGACUGGAAUAAAGAAGGGUCCGCCUGCUAGGCUAAAGUUUCCUCAGCCUGAUGUAGUAGUUGCUGCUCUACAGGAGGCUCUGAAAGCUGAGCAGAUGCCAAAGUUUGUCAAAGCUGUCGCACAUAAAACAUCAACUACAGAUUAAGUAAGAGAUCCCAGCGUUCGGGAGAUAUGACCAGUGGAAGCAAAAUGACGAGGAGUGACGAAGGAGAUGUUCUCAGUCCCUUCUCUGAUGAGUCAAGUGCCAACUGCUGACAUCUUCUGGACGCAUGAGGUCAUCUGGUGGAGCAUAAUGAUGCUAAUGAUGCUUUUAUAUUUGUUUUGGUAAAUUAGAGAUUUUCUUAGUUACGUUUUAGAUUUAUUACUUACCCUAGCCAAAGACUUAUUGUUUUAUGCAAGAAUGAUUUUUUUCUGUGCUCAACUGGAUGACUUGAUACAACAAUAAAUGAUGGUUUUUCUA